UACGUAGGGUGCGAGCGUUUAAUCGGAAUUACUGGGCGUAAAGCGUGCGCAGGCGGUUUUGUAAGCCGGAUGUGAAAUCCCCGGGCUUAACCUGGGAAUGGCAUUCGGGACUGCAAGGCUGGAGUGCGGCAGAGGAGACUGGAAUUCCUGGUGUAGCAGUGAAAUGCGUAGAUAUCAGGAGGAACACCGAUGGCGAAGGCAGGUCUCUGGGCUGACACUGACGCUCAUGCACGAAAGCGUGGGGAGCAAACAGG
rnacentral:rRNA from 1 species